AAAGGGUGCGUAGGUGGUCAUUUAAGUCUGAUUUGAAAGCAAGCGGCUUAACCGUUUGAUGUGGUUGGAAACUGAAUGACUUGAAUGGGUUGGCGGUAGCCGGAAUGGGUCAUGUAGCGGUGAAAUGCAUAGAUAUGACCCGGAACACCGAUUGCGAAGGCAGGCUACUACGACUUGAUUGACACUGAGGCACGAGAGCAUGGGUAGCGAACAGGAUUAGAUACCCCGGU
rnacentral:rRNA from 1 species